ensembl:lncRNA
CUGCUUCUUCAGUUGCUUCAGAAAAACAAGAAGAACUGCUGGUUCUGUCAGUGGAGGUAACAUCUCUUAAAGAGCAGAUCUGCCGUUACAGUGAAAAUGAAGUGCGGAAACGACAAGAACUGUCUGUUUUAGAGGCACAACACGAUGUGUUGAAGGAAAAAUUGACGUCUCUACAGAAUCAGUUGGCCGAAGUGAAGGAAUCUGAGCUUAAACGGGAGCUUUGCCAUCAAACAAUGCUAAGAGAAAAAGCUCAGGAGCUCGAGAGGACUGUGAGGGAGCAUCAUACUGAAAUCUCCGCUCUUGCCUCAAAGAGAGACGCUCGAAUAAGUUCUCUUAAAGCUGAAAUAAACAAUCAACAGCUGAUAUCCGAGAGGCUUCGGGCUCAGCUGGAACUGAAGGUGGAAAAGCAAAACAGCUCUAUUCUUGCUCUUAAAAACAUGGCUCGACAAUGGGAGCAGCAGAACGAGGAGCUCCUGGAGAAGCUGAAGAUCAUGUUCACACAGUUACAGCAUUACAGCGGUAAAAACAAGGAGGCGCUGGAGAUGAACAAAACUCUUGUGAACUCCCUGCAGGCCAGCAGGAGAGACGUGAGAGAUCUUCAGAUGGAACGAGACCAGACGAAGGCCAAAGUCAAAAGCUUGGAGGCUCGGUUGAACUUCGCUGAAAGGCAUCUGGAAGGGUGGAGGAAGAUGACCGAGGACAGUGAGGAUGUGAGAUGCAGGGAAACACAGCAGGACACCAGCUACGACAGCUUUGAGCUGAACGAUUCGUUUAAAGCUAAUGCACAUGAUAUGCCUGGUAUCGGAGUGGAGGAUAAACCUGAGCAUACUGCAGAUGACUGGAUGCGUGUCGCAGAACUACAGGCUCGAAACAAAGCCUGUCUGCCUCACAUGAAGAGCAGCUACCCGCUGGAGUCCAGGGUGAGCGUACCUGCCAGCGUCUGUGCUUUUCUGCUGCUUUGAUUUUACAGAAAUACAGGUUUGAUUCUGGCCUGUUUUGUGACUCACAUUUCUCAUAUUUCUAAUGUUUUUUCACUUAAUUAAACCUCUUUUCUUAAGACACUGGACCUGAUCACUUCCAUUUUAUAAUAAACACUUAAAGGGAUAGUUCA